rnacentral:rRNA from 1 species
UACGUAGGGUGCAAGCGUUGUCCGGAAUUAUUGGGCGUAAAGGGCUCGUAGGCGGUCCAUCGCGUCGGGAGUGAAAAGCUGGGGCUUAACCCCAGUCCUGCUUCCGAUACGGGUGGACUAGAGGUAGGUAGGGGAGAUCGGAAUUCCUGGUGUAGCGGUGAAAUGCGCAGAUAUCAGGAGGAACACCGGUGGCGAAGGCGGAUCUCUGGACAACACCUGACGCUGAGGCACGAAAGCCAGGGGAGCAAACGGG